CCAAUCCCUUAAUCCCCUGAUCGAGUCUGUUUGACUACCGAGAUCUCGCCAAAUAUCCGUACAUCCAACCUUUCCGUUUUCUUCAUUCUUGGAUCUCAAUUUCAAAAUCGAAAACCCUCUAUCUCUCCAAAUUCUCAUCUUCAAUCUAAUAAACCCUAGCCUCAACACACCACCUCUGAUCUUCCUCUCCCUAAUUUCACACACACAAUCUCCAUGGGUCGCCACAAUCCACCACCUCCUUCAACGUCUCCACAAUCCACAAUCACUGUCACGACCUUCAUCUCUUCCAAUUGCUACUCUCCAAAAACCCUCACAACCGCUAGCCACCACGACCAUCAAAACCAUUCACCACCACUAUCCCUUGUCAACCUUUACCCUGUUUCUCUCUUCUUUGGAUUCUUAGGUAUGUGAGGUAGUGUUGGUGUUUCCGCCAUAACCAUCACCACCAUCCACCGUCAACCCAACCCCAUUGGUGGAUCUAGAAUCACCCUCCUUCUCUUCUCUCUCAUUCGAUCGCAGAGAAGAUAAAUCAAGAGAGAUGGAGUUGGAGAAAGCAUUUGUCGCCACCAUCGCCAAUCUGUUGUGAGUUGCUAUUUCCUCCAUUUUAUCCCCUUUUCAUUAUUUCCUGAAUCAUGUUCGUCUCCAACAGAUGCAGGUUAAACCCCCAUUUUCCCUUUCCUUUUCAUAUGCAAUCAAUUUAAAUAUGAAAUGUAUUCUUAGUUGUUAUGUAAAAGAAGUAUUGAUGAUUUUUAUUAUUACCUUUAUAUUUUCACUUUUUAUUAAAUAACAGGAAACUUGAAGCAUCUUAUAACAGAUUUGGGUGUAUUUGUGAGAUUACAAGAUAGAAACAAACUUUAGUUGGGAUCGACUAUUCAAAUGCAAAUAUUCAGGUUGUUGCAAUGAAAGCCUUGAAUAUAAUUUAGGAGGUACAUUAUUAUUAUUUUUUGUUAUUUAAGAUUCUUGUUAUACACAAGAAAAAAAGGUAUGUACACAAAUGAUGGAAUCAGGUCUAUUUUUUUUUUUUUGAGUUGUAGAUGGGUUAUUGGUUAGGAUAAAAGAAUAUGUAAAACCGUUAAAUGGAACCCUUGACAUAUUUAUGAAUAUAUUUGGGUUUCUUAACCAUUUAUAUGAACUAAAUCUUAUUAGGAUUAGUUCAAAAUUUGUUGAUUCAAUAUUUCUAGGGUCUUGAUAUUUAUCAAGAUUUAAUUAAAAUUCAACAAAGCUAAUGUGUAACAUCUACAAGCCAUUCUUUUGUACCGUUAGUAAUGGCGACGUAUCAAGCUUUAGGAAUGAAACAAAUGCAGUUUGAACAUGCUCUUUGAAACCAAUAGUCAUUAAUUCUACCUUACCAUUGCAGUGAUUGAUUUUAAAUAAGAAUUUGAUGGCAUGGAGACUACAAUAUAAAAUAAAAAUGGAAGUCAAUUCUUUAGAAGCACAGUCAAGGUAUGAAAGCGGGCAUCAUUCUAUAACAUAUAUAAACCUGUAACAUUUAUUUCUUUCUUCUAUAGACACCAUGGUUGACACUAAGGCUUGUGGUGUUUGGGCAAGUUCUGGAGUUGAUUGAGUCAUGCAAGAUAGAGAGAUAAUCCCCUUCUAAAGAUGAAAACAUAACACUUAAAUGUGAAGUCAAUGUGUUGUAAAGUAUGUGAGUGUAUGUUUGGAUAUGUAUGUGUGUGAAUAUCAUAAUCAAUUGGGUGUGAUAUUGUGCAAAAAUGGAUUGGACUGGAAUGAGUGAUUGUAUAUUGUGAGAAAAAAAAACAAGGUUUAAGAUUUUAAAAUUUAGGUGACAAGUUUUUUUUU